rnacentral:rRNA from 1 species
UCAAGAGUACGUGAAACUGCUUAGAGGUUAAGCCCGAUGAACCUGAAUAUCCAAUAUAGAAAAUUCAUCAUUAUGACUCUAAUAUUUAUAUAUAUUAUAAUAAUAGUGUGCAUUUUUUCUAUUGAGGACAUUGUAAUCUAUUGAUAUGAAUUAAAUUUAUUAUAAGAUCAAUUGCUUAAGUUUAUUCAAAUUAUUUUGCUUGCGAUUUAACAUAGAAUAAAUGCUCUUGAUUUGAUAAAGUGUUGAUAGAUUUAUUAUAUAUAGUGCUUGAAUAUUUUUAAUAUUCUAUAAUGGCAUAUUAAUUAUUAAUUUUUAUGUUUAUUUUAUGCACUUAUAUGAUUAACAAUGCGAAAGAUUCAGGAUACCUUCGGGACCCGUCUUGAAACACGGACCAAGGAGUCUAACAUAUUUGCAAGUUAUUGGGAAUAAAAACCUAAUAGCGAAAUUAACAUAACUUAAAUUUAUUGGGAUUAGUUUUUAGCCUAUUUUUAUAGUCUAUUAAUUCAAUCCCGGGGCGUUCUAUUGUUAUGUAUAAUAAUAUUUAUAUUAUUUAUACCUCUAACUAGAGCGUACCUUGAGCAUAUAUGCUGUGACCCGAA